UUUAAUCCAUCGACGACUCAUAUUGCUUUGAAAAUGGUGAAAAGUGGAGAAGAUAAAUCCCCGCUGAGAAUGACUCCCCCUUUUAUGCCCUAAUCCAACGACCCCUAUUCGAGUUACCCAGAUUCUCCUUUACUUAUCUUACGUUACCAUUGAUUCCAGUAGCCAAAAAUAGGGUUCAUCAACAUAUUCUCCAUUAAUGGUUCUUAGCGUUACGGAAAAAAAUAAACACCUUCAUUAUUUCCGUUAAUCUAUUCCUUGAGAUGUCCGAGUGGAGAAGAUAAAUCCAGGAUGAGAAUGACUCCCCCUUUUAAGCCCUAAUCCAACGAACCCUAUUCGAGUUACCCAGAUUCUCCUUAUCUUACGUUACCAUUGAUUCCAGUAGCCAAAAAUAGGGUUCAUCAACAUAUUCUCCAUUAAUGGUUCUUAGCGUUACGGAGAAAAAUAAACACCUUCAUUAUUUCCGCUAAUCAAUUCCUUGAGAUGUCCGACUACAUAUUGUGGGAUGUAUUAGGAUACAAGAUAUGGAUAGUGUUUGUUAUGGACUUUGUACGAAGCUUUGGUUAUCUGAAGGAGAUCAUCAAGUCGGGUGUAUUUCUAAAGGUUACACAUUUACGGGACCCAACAUCCUCUUAGAUGAUUGCCUUCCCAGUAAAGCUGAUAAGAACUUGUUGAAUGCUGUCAAAAAUUCCAUUGUUCAAGGGUUCUAAUGGGGAGCACGUGAGGGACCUUUCUGUGACGAACCUAUCAAAAAUGUGAAGAUCAAGAUUGAACCCAUAUAUCGAGGCACUGGUCAGAUUAUUCCAACUGCUUGACGGGUUGCAUAUUCAGCUUUCCUCAUGGCUACUCCACGUCUUAUGGAACCUGUAUACUAUGUUGAGAUACAAACCCCAAUAGAUUGUGUAUCUGCCAUCUAUACGGUGUUGUCUCAUUGAUGUGGUCAUGUUACGGCUGAUGUUCCUCAGCCUGGUACGCCAGCUUAUAUCAUAAAGGUCGGUUAUAAAACUCUA